rnacentral:rRNA from 1 species
CCUACGGGAGGCAGCAGUGGGGAAUUUUGGACAAUGGGGGCAACCCUGAUCCAGCCAUGCCGCGUGUGUGAAGAAGGCCUUCGGGUUGUAAAGCACUUUCGGCCGGAACGAAAUCGCGCGAUCUAAUAAGUCGCGUGGAUGACGGUACCGGAAGAAGAAGCACCGGCUAACUACGUGCCAGCAGCCGCGGUAAUACGUAGGGUGCGAGCGUUAAUCGGAAUUACUGGGCGUAAAGUGUGCGCAGGUGGCCGCGCAAGUCGAGUGUGAAAUCCCCGAGCUUAACUUGGGAAUUGCGCUCGAAACUACGUGGCUCGAGUGUGGCAGAGGAAGGUGGAAUUCCACGUGUAGCGGUGAAAUGCGUAGAGAUGUGGAGGAACACCGAUGGCGAAGGCAGCCUUCUGGGCCAACACUGACACUCAUGCACGAAAGCGUGGGGAGCAAACAGGAUUAGAUACCCUGGUAGUCCACGCCCUAAACGAUGAUGACUAGUUGUUGGGGGAGUUAAAUCCCUUAGUAACGCAGCUAACGCGUGAAGUCAUCCGCCUGGGGAGUACGGUCGCAAGAUUAAAACUCAAAGGAAUUGACGG